rnacentral:misc_RNA from 1 species
GAUGAAGAACGUAGCGAAAUGCGAUAAGUAAUGCGAAUUGCAGAAUCCGUGAGUCAUCGAAUCUUUGAACGCACAUUGCGCCCUCUGGUAUUCCGGAGGGCAUGCCUGUUCGAGCGUCAUUAUCACCCCUCAAGCCCGGCUUGUUGUUGGAUGCAGCGCUUAUCCCGCUCCUCCCAAAGAUAAUGACGGCGUCUGCGACGACUCCUGUACGCUGAGCUUUCGGGCACGUACACGGCUAGAAGUCCAGACCCGGUCGCCGUCCCCCCCGCGGGGACACCCAUUACCACAAGGUUGACCUCGGAUCAGGUAGGAAUACCCGCUGAACUUAAGCAUAUCAAUAAGCGGAGGA